GAAGGCGCACACAGUGUUGGGACUGGGGGAAACAUUUCCAGAAGGCGCACACAGUGUUGGGACUGGGGGAAACAUUUCCAGAAGGCGCACACAGUGCUGGGACUGGGGGAAACAUUUCCAGAAGGCGCACACAGUGCCGGGACUGGGGGAAACAUUUCCAGAAGGCGCACACAGUGCCGGGACUGGGGGAAACAUUUCCAGAAGGCGCACACAGUGCUGGGACUGGGGGGAACAUUUCCAGAAGGCACACACAGUGCCGGGACUGGGGGAAACAUUUCCAGAAGGCACACACAGUGCUGGGACUGGGGGAAACAUUUCCAGAAGGCACACACAGUGCUGGGAC